rnacentral:rRNA from 1 species
AUUGAACGCUGGCGGCAGGCCUAACACAUGCAAGUCGAGCGAGCGGCGGACGGGUGAGUAAUGUCUGGGAAACUGCCUGAUGGAGGGGGAUAACUACUGGAAACGGUAGCUAAUACCGCCUACCAUCAGCUGUGCCCAGAUGGGAUUAGCUAGUAGGUGGGGUAAUGGCUCACCUAGGCGACGAUCCCUAGCUGGUCUGAGAGGUUGACCAGCCACACUGGAAUUUAGAGACGGUCCAGACGCCUAUGGGAGGCAGCAUUGGGGAAUAUUGCACAAUGGGCGCAAGCCUGAUGCAGCCAUGCCGCGCUUAUGAAGAAGGCCUUCGGGUUGUAAAGUACUGUCAGUCGGGAGGCGUUACCGACAGAAGAAGCACCGGCUAACUCCGUGCCAGCAGCCGCGGUAAUAC